AGGCCGAAAGGCGUAGUCGAUGGGAAACAGGUUAAUAUUCCUGUACUUGGUGUUACUGCGAAGGGGGGACGGAGAAGGCUAUGUUAGCCGGGCGACGGUUGUCCCGGUUUAAGCAUGUAGGCUGAUUGUCCAGGCAAAUCCGGAUAAUCAAGGCUGAGGUGUGAUGACGAGGCACUACGGUGCUGAAGUAACAAAUGCCCUGCUUCCAGGAAAAGCCUCUAAGCAUCAGGUAACAUCAAUUCGUACCCCAAA
rnacentral:rRNA from 1 species